rnacentral:rRNA from 1 species
GCAAGUCGAACGUUUGGAGCUUGCUCCGUUUAGUGGCGGACGGGUGAGUAACGCGUGGGUACCUGCCUCAUACAGGGGGAUAGCAGUUGGAAACGACUGGUAAAACCGCAUAAGAUCGCAUGAUAAAAACUCCGGUGGUAUGAGAUGGACCCGCGUCUGAUUAGCUAGUUGGUGAGGUAACGGCCCACCAAGGCGACGAUCAGUAGCCGGCCUGAGAGGGUGAACGGCCACAUUGGGACUGAGACACGGCCCAAACUCCUACGGGAGGCAGCAGUGGGGAAUAUUGCACAAUGGGGGAAACCCUGAUGCAGCGACGCCGCGUGAGUGAAGAAGUAUUUCGGUAUGUAAAGCUCUAUCAGCAGGGAAGAUAAUGACGGUACCUGACUAAGAAGCACCGGCUAAAUACGUGCCAGCAGCCGCGGUAAUACGUAUGGUGCAAGCGUUAUCCGGAUUUACUGGGUGUAAAGGGUGCGUAGGUGGCAAGGCAAGUCUGAAGUGAAAAUCGGGGCUCAACCCCGGAACUGCUUUGGAAACUGUUUAGCUAGAGUACAGGAGAGGUAAGUGGAAUUCCUAGUGUAGCGGUGAAAUGCGUAGAUAUUAGGAGGAACACCAGUGGCGAAGGCGACUUACUGGACUGCUACUGACACUGAGGCACGAAACGUGAGGAGCAAACAGGAUUAGAUACCCUGGUAGUCCACGCCGUANACGAUGAAUACUAGGUGUUGGGUUNAAAGGCUCGGUGCCGUCGCAAACGCAUUAAGUAUUCCACCUGGGGAGUAC